AGCCGUGCUGUGAGCACAGAGCGAACUAUUCUUUCGCCUUUUACUAAAGAAUACCGUGUGCUCUCCGCUGAUAGCGGCAUACGCCUAUUUUUGGAGGGUUCCUUCCUUUGAAGAAG
rfam:Populus trichocarpa isolate Nisqually-1 chromosome 5, whole genome shotgun sequence.